UACAGAGGGGGCAAGCGUUAUUCGGAAUUAUUGGGCGUAAAGGGCGCGUAGGCGGCUUUGCAAGUGGCGGGUGAAAUCCCUCGGCUUAACCGAGGAACUGCCUGUCAAACUGCAUGGCUUGAGACCAGGAGAGGUGAGUGGAAUUCCCAGUGUAGCGGUGAAAUGCGUAGAUAUUGGGAGGAACACCAGUGGCGAAGGCGGCUCACUGGACUGGUACUGACGCUGAGGCACGAAAGCGUGGGGAGCAAACAGG
rnacentral:rRNA from 1 species